rnacentral:rRNA from 1 species
UACUACAAAGCUAGCCAAAAAAUAAAUUUAUUAAAUACCCAUUAUUAAUUAAUAUACACAACUAUAAUCAUUAUCUUAAAACAUUUUAUCUCUCUCAGUAUAGGUGAUAGAACAGAAAACCAUUGAGCAAUAGAAAUAGUACCGCAAGGGAAAGCUGAAAAAGAAAUGAAAUAAACCAUUAAAGUAAAAAGAAGCAGAGACUCGUCCUCGUACCUUUUGCAUCAUGAUUUAGCAAGAAUAACUAGGCAAAAAGCCUUUCAGCCUAUUUUCCCGAAACUAAACGAGCUACUUCGGAGCAGCACAUUAGAGCCAACCCACCUCUGUGGCAAAAGAGAGGGAAGACUCCCAAGUAGCGGUGAUAGACCUACCGAGUUUAGUGAUAGCUGGUUAUCCAAAAAAAGAACUUAAAUUCUGCAUUAAUUUUUUCAACCGGGUAAUAAAAAAAUUUUUAACUAAACCUCAUUGUAAAAAUUAAUAGUUAUUCAAAAAAGGUACAGCUUUUUUGAACCAAGAAACAACUUUAUUAGGAGGGUAAUGAUUAUAUUACUAAAGGGUUACUACUCAGUGGGCCUAAAAGCAGCCACCUGUAAAGCAAGCGUCAUAGCUCAAACCCCGUAAUUACACCAACAAAUCCAUAUAUUCAUUCAAAACCCCCUAUUUACCUAUUGGAUUAUUUUAUUAACCCUUAUAAAAGAAAUUAUGCUAAAAUGAGUAAUAGGGGGACAAUCCCCUCCCACAACACCAGUGUAAGUCAGAAAGAAUUAAAUCACUGACAAUUAACCGAUGCCACAUUUGAGGCUCUCAUGCUAUAAAAGUAUACAACAAGAAAACCCCAUCCCUAAGCCAUCGUUAACCCUACACAGGAGUGUUUCCAGGAAAGAUUAAAAGAAAAUAAAGGAACUCGGCAAACACAAACUCCGCCUGUUUACCAAAAACAUCGCCUCUUGCUCUUACUCAUGUAUAAGAGGUCCAGCCUGCCCUGUGAUUUUUUUAACGGCCGCGGUAUCUUGACCGUGCGAAGGUAGCGUAAUCACUUGUCUUUUAAUUGAAGACCCGUAUGAAAGGCAUCACGAGAGUUUAUCUGUCUCUAUUUUCUAAUCAAUGAAAUUGAUCCUCUCGUGCAGAAGCGAGAAUAAAAACAUAAGACGAGAAGACCCUAUGGAGCUUUAAACACCUAAGUUAUUUUUAAAAAUUAGCUUUUUCCCUUUGGGCAUAAACAAUAAAUUAUUAAUUUUUUAACUUAACUUGUUUUUGGUUGGGGCGACCAAGGGGUAAAACAAAACCCCCUUAUCGAAUGUGUGAAAUAUCACUUAAAAAUUAGAGUCACAUCUCUAAUUAAUAGAAAAUCUAACGAACAAUGACCCAGGAAAAUUUCUAUCCUGAUCAAUGAACCAAGUUACCCUAGGGAUAACAGCGCAAUCCUUUCUUAGAGUCCCCAUCGCCGAAAGGGUUUACGACCUCGAUGUUGGAUCAGGACAUCCUAAUGGUGCAGCCGCUAUUAAGGGUUCGUUUGUUCAACGAUUAAUAGUCCUACGUGAUCUGAGUUCAGACCGGAGUAAUCCAGGUCAGUUUCUAUCUAUGAUGGAAUUUUUCCUAGUACGAAAGGACCGGAAAAAUGAAGCCCAUGCCUAAAGGCACGCUUCCACUCAACCUGUUGAAACCAACUCAAACAGGUAAAGAAGGCCAUCUCCUAACCAAAAAUAAUGGUUC